rnacentral:rRNA from 1 species
GCACCGGCUAACUACGUGCCAGCAGCCGCGGUAAUACGUAGGGUGCGAGCGUUGUCCGGAAUUACUGGGCGUAAAGAGCUCGUAGGUGGUUUGUCGCGUCGUCUGUGAAAUUCCGGGGCUUAACUCCGGGCGUGCAGGCGAUACGGGCAUAACUUGAGUACUGUAGGGGAGACUGGAAUUCCUGGUGUAGCGGUGAAAUGCGCAGAUAUCAGGAGGAACACCGGUGGCGAAGGCGGGUCUCUGGGCAGUAACUGACGCUGAGGAGCGAAAGCAUGGGGAGCGAACAGGAUUAGAUACCCUGGUAGUCCACGCCGUAAACGAUGAGUGUUAGAUGUCCGAGGUAAACUUGGGUGUCACAAGCCAACGCGAUAAACACUCCGCCUGGGGAGUACGUACGCA